rnacentral:lncRNA from 1 species
GGGGAAAACAUAGGAUGCAAGGGUCCUUCUUCUUUUGCCACGACGCCACGCAGAAGAGGAGAAAGAAAAGACCUAAUGCUAGAUUCAGCAAGAAGGGGAUGAGCGAAAAAACCUUGAGCCUCACCCCAGGAGUUGGAGAAAUUUACAAUUUUCCCCCUAAGUUUCUUCUCCCCUCCCUCCUCUAUCCAGCGAGCCCUCUAAAGAAAAAAGCCCUCUCAAUGAGUCCG